CCGCCAGUCAGGGGCACCGUUCCGAGGCAAUCCUUGCCGGUGCAAAUCCCCCGAGGCUUCUCUCCGCCAGAGCGUAGAACAAAAUUGCCGGUUCCCCUGAGUUUUUGUCAGGCUUUGCUGGCGCUCGGGAGCAGGAACAAAGGGAAUGUGGAAAUGAAAGAGAGAGGGAGAGAGAGGCUGGCAGAUGUGAUGAGAUGCGGUGAAGGUGUAUCCAGCUUGGCACUCCCACUCCUCUCUUCUCCUCUCAUUGCAGCCCUGGGUGACUCUCAGGCUAACACAAACAGCUUUUCUUCCGCAGCCUGCCCUCUGUCACUGUCAGUUUCAUGAAUUCAAAAGCAACUUACCAGUGAUUUCUGGGAGCUGAGGCUGAUUUUCUUGUGUAUUUAUCAUGGACAACCAGAGCUAAAACGUAACUGUAGAGGAACCCUGGCACAACAAGGAAUCUGCUUCUCAGGGACAGUUCAACAGGGCUGGAGAGCCCUCCUGUACUGGUGUUUCUUGACUAGGCAGAUGAAUGCCUUGACAGUUUUCUCUGGUUAUUUUUCUCAGGAAUUGAAAAUGAAUGCAAAUUUUGAUCUCUGGUUUGCUGAUAUGCUCUAUUUUGCUGAUAUUCUUACUACUUGGACAACUGGCUGCUGACCAUUACUUUCUGUGAAUAAAAGCUAUGGGGAAGUAGGUGUUUUCUUCUAAGCAGUUUUUGUUAAAAUUGUCCUUUCAUCUCCAUGGUAUCAAAAGGGUACUUUGUAACAAAUAAGGGAACACAUCACCUUUAAAACAAUCUUAACUUUUGAUUAACCUAGGGUGACCACUGUGGCUUUUUUUAACCUUUAUUUCUGUGUUCUGAGGUUACCAAGAGCCUGUUUUCUAUGACACAGAUUUUUUUGUUGUGGUGCCUUAAUAAAACGUGCCAAAUGAU